GGGCACUGGAAUAGGAUUCGCUCGGGAAGCCGCCUCACAGAUGUUUCUUUCAAGAAUAUCCACUGCAUGGUCAAGAUCUGCUGCACAUCUAAUUUCAGUGUUGAUUUUAGAAGAUGGCUAUUUAUUGUGUUGACAGCUGGAGCUUCACGAUAAUAAAUAAUUAGUGGAAGAUGAUCGGAACUAAGGUGAUGAGAAUCUUCAAUCUGAAGUAGUUCGCGACGAAUGCCUUUAUAUAUGGCGAAGUCAAUGGCGGAAGGCGAAUGGCGGGGAUUGUAUGGGAAGAGCGUGAGUUUCCCCACCACUGGCUUCGAGCGUUCCAGUCGCCUCCUAUGAUGUAGGCAUCCCCCAAGGAUAAGAACAGUUCAUGGAAAUCACUAUCAGACCAUCUUUGUUGUGGUGGGCAGUAGACGGAGGCAAUGUUAAUGGUUUUACUGGGAAGGAGAUUUAGCGAAACAACAGCACAUUGACAUCGCGCUGUAGGUGGAAUAUGGAGGGCAUAGUGCCUUAUGCUAUUUUUAAUGACAACUGCAACACCACCUCUUCGCCUAUUAGAAGGAUGGUUUGCUGUGUAAGCAGAGUACCCUUGAAUUUUAAUUGAGUCAGAAUCAAUAAGGUGUCUGCAGCUGUCAUCAGGAUCAUCCACCAGGGUCAUCCACCAAGGUCAUCCACACGGGUCAUCCACACGGGUCAUCCAUCAGUGGUCAUCCAACAGGGCUCAGCAUGUUGUCAUAUAUCGAGGUUUAAUUGCUUGUUAUUUUUUUU
rnacentral:sRNA from 1 species